AUAUGCCAUCUGAUUUCUAGGCAUAUGCAUAUAUUCUGCAACCAAUAUAUAUUUUGUGGUUAAAAUUCUUUAGCAAAUUUCAAAACUAGCCUUUCUGUGUAUCAUUGUGUUUUACAGCCACUUAUUCCAAAGCCAGGGCUAAACUCCACCAAGCUGAAUAUUCAUCAGACUUGACAGAUACAGAAAAUAUCUCAAGAAAAAUAAGGCCAAGUGCAAAACUUCUCCAGAGUCAACUGAGCACUCAGUUGGAAUCAAGUGAGCAUUCAGACUCUUCAGAGGAGCUUCCACCCACUCCACCAAACCAACUCCUUUGGCCAGCAAAGAAAGUGAGCAACUACUUUCAGAACCCCACUGACCAACAUGUUGCCAGCUAUACUCCCCUACGUAACACCAGUCAUGCUGCCCAACAAGGUGCCAGCACCACAAACCGAGGCAUUACCAGCCCCAUAGCCACAGUUACCAGCCCUAGAGACCAAGGAGUUACCACCCCAACAGCCACAGUUACCAGCCCCACAGCCCGAGGAGUUAGCAGCUCCACAGCCCGUAGAGCUACCAGCCCCACAGCCACAGUUACCAGCCCCAGAGACCAAGGAGUUACCAGCGCAACACCCCGAGGAGUUAGCAGCUCCAUAGCCCGUAGAGCUACCAGCCCCACAGCCACAGUUACCAGCCCCAGAGACCAAGGAGUUACCAGCGCAACACCCCGAGGAGUUAGCAGCUCCAUAGCCCGUAGAGCUACCAGCCCCACAGCCACAAUUACCAGCCCUACUUGUGAAGCCAUGUUCACUAAGCUUUUGACAAUCUUAGAAGAAGUGAAGGAGACACAACGUGUUCAUGGUAAGAUGUUGAAUGCCCUGCUGAAAAAGCAAGACGGAUCAGUGGUAGAGGUUCCUGAAGGAGUGGCUUUACCUCUGAAAACCCAGUCUGACCUUGAGGCUCUUGAUCAGAAGUUGGGGGAUCGUAGUGUCAUGUCUGCUGUUGUAAGUUUACUUUAUUUUAUCAUUACUAUUAUCUUUAAUUAUUUAUUUCUCCUCCUGGAACUCUUAAGUUAAAAAAACGAAGUUUAUGUAAACCAUUGGUUUCUCCUUUUGGCUCUCAUCCUUAGGUUACCAUGGUGGCAGAUGUAGGUGGCACAAGUGUAGAUGAUACAACAAGAAGAAUGAUGAAAUACAUCUUAUCAAAUGAGCUGGCAUUGGAGUACAAUUUCUUUGGUCGUCAUGGGAAAAAAAAGUUUAAAGAUUUGCGUCUUUUCAACAUUGUGUAUGGUAAGUAUGACUUAAGUUGUUAAUACUGUGAUCUUAAAU
rnacentral:lncRNA from 1 species